rnacentral:rRNA from 1 species
UACAGAGGUGUCAAACGUUGUCCGGAAUUACUGGGCGUAAAGGGCGCGUAGGCGGCCUUAUAAGUCAUGUGUGAAAGCUCUGGGCUCAACCCAGGAAUUGCAUGUGAUACUGUAAGGCUUGAGUUCGGUAGAGGAGGGCGGAAUUCCUGGUGUAGCGGUGAAAUGCGUAGAUAUCUGGAGGAACACCCGUGGCGAAGGCGGCUCUCUGGUCCGAAACUGACGCUGAGGUGCGAAAGCUAGGGUAGCAAACAGG